rnacentral:rRNA from 1 species
GGGGGGACGGAGAAGGCUAGGUGGGCCAGGCGACGGUUGUCCUGGUUCAAGUGCGUAGGCUUGAGAGUUAGGUAAAUCCGGCUCUCUCUAAGGCUGAGACACGACGUCGAGCUGCUACGGCAGUGAAGUCAUUGAUGCCAUGCUUCCAGGAAAAGCCUCUAAGCUUCAGAUAGUCAGGAAUCGUACCCCAAACCGACACAGGUGGUCGGGUAGAGAAUACCAAGGCGCUUGAGAGAACUCGGGUGAAGGAACUAGGCAAAAUGGUACCGUAACUUCGGGAGAAGGUACGCUCUUGAUGGUGAAGUCCCUCGCGGAUGGAGCUGACGAGAGUCGCAGAUACCAGGUGGCUGCAACUGUUUAUUAAAAACACAGCACUGUGCAAAAUCGCAAGAUGACGUAUACGGUGUGACGCCUGCCCGGUGCCGGAAGGUUAAUUGAUGGGGUUAGCGCAAGCGAAGCUCUUGAUCGAAGCCCCGGUAAACGGCGGCCGUAACUAUAACGGUCCUAAGGUAGCGAAAUUCCUUGUCGGGUAAGUUCCGACCUGCACGAAUGGCGUAAUGAUGGCCACGCUGUCUCCACCCGAGACUCAGUGAAAUUGAAAUCGCUGUGAAGAUGCAGUGUACCCGCGGCUAGACGGAAAGACCCCGUGAACCUUUACUACAGCUUGGCACUGAACAUUGAACCUACAUGUGUAGGAUAGGUGGGAGGCUAUGAAGACGUGACGCCAGUUGCGUUGGAGCCGUCCUUGAAAUACCACCCUUGUAUGUUUGAUGUUCUAACUUAGACCCAUUAUCUGGGUUGAGGACAGUGCCUGGUGGGUAGUUUGACUGGGGCGGUCUCCUCCCAAAGAGUAACGGAGGAGCACGAAGGUGGGCUAAUCACGGUUGGACAUCGUGAGGUUAGUGCAAUGGCAUAAGCCCGCUUAACUGCGAGAAUGACGGUUCGAGCAGGUGCGAAAGCAGGUCAUAGUGAUCCGGUGGUUCUGUAUGGAAGGGCCAUCGCUCAACGGAUAAAAGGUACUCCGGGGAUAACAGGCUGAUACCGCCCAAGAGUUCAUAUCGACGGCGGUGUUUGGCACCUCGAUGUCGGCUCAUCACAUCCUGGGGCUGAAGUCGGUCCCAAGGGUAUGGCUGUUCGCCAUUUAAAGUGGUACGCGAGCUGGGUUUAGAACGUCGUGAGACAGUUCGGUCCCUAUCUGCCGUGGGCGUUGGAAGAUUGAAGGGGGCUGCUCCUAGUACGAGAGGACCGGAGUGGACGAACCUCUGGUGUUCGGGUUGUGUCGCCAGACGCAUUGCCCGGUAGCUAAGUUCGGAAUUGAUAAGCGCUGAAAGCAUCUAAGCGCGAAGCGAGCCCUGAGAUGA